rnacentral:lncRNA from 1 species
CCUUGGAGAAGUCCCUUCCCAUCCUGGGCCUCAAGUUCCUCUUUUGAACAUCAGCUGUAGCAUGCCUAACAUUGGUAUUUCAUUUGGGCUUGUGAGGUCUUAACUAUUAUAUUGGACAAAUAAUUUUGGUCUAACUCACAGGGCAGAAGCACUGAUGUUCCCGUUAACCAUGGUCAGUCACAUUCUGUGGUUGAAGCACAUGUUUGUGGUGGUUUCUUUUGCUCCAAAAGAAACUUUACAACUCACAGAUGCUUGAUCAAUUAAGGGAGUGAUUUUAUAGAUAAAUUAUUGUGGGAAAACAGCACGUGCUAUCAGUAGUAACUUAAAAUCACUUAAAACAGUGCAGUAAUUGUAGGGGACUCCCUUUCCCCUAAGACAUAUUUAGCAAACAACUGAUGGGAGAAAUAAAAAAUAUGUAACUCUAACAAACUAGAGGGAUUGAGAGCUAUCUCCAGUCAUGUAGCAAGGAUAUCUAUCAUGGAGAAAACGGCAUGGUCUUCAGGAGGAGAAAGAAGCCUUGAUUUCCAG